rnacentral:rRNA from 1 species
GGCUCAGAUUGAACGCUGGCGGCAUGCCUUACACAUGCAAGUCGAACGGCAGCACGGGAGCUUGCUCCUGGUGGCGAGUGGCGAACGGGUGAGUAAUAUAUCGGAACGUGCCCUAGAGUGGGGGAUAACUAGUCGAAAGAUUAGCUAAUACCGCAUACGAUCUAAGGAUGAAAGUGGGGGAUCGCAAGACCUCAUGCUCGUGGAGCGGCCGAUAUCUGAUUAGCUAGUUGGUGAGGUAAAGGCUCACCAAGGCGACGAUCAGUAGCUGGUCUGAGAGGACGACCAGCCACACUGGAACUGAGACACGGUCCAGACUCCUACGGGAGGCAGCAGUGGGGAAUUUUGGACAAUGGGCGAAAGCCUGAUCCAGCAAUGCCGCGUGAGUGAAGAAGGCCUUCGGGUUGUAAAGCUCUUUUGUCAGGGAAGAAACGGUAGAGGCUAAUAUCCUUUACUAAUGACGGUACCUGAAGAAUAAGCACCGGCUAACUACGUGCCAGCAGCCGCGGUAAUACGUAGGGUGCAAGCGUUAAUCGGAAUUACUGGGCGUAAAGCGUGCGCAGGCGGUUGUGCAAGACAGAUGUGAAAUCCCCGGGCUCAACCUGGGAAUUGCAUUUGUGACUGCACAGCUAGAGUGUGUCAGAGGGGGGUAGAAUUCCACGUGUAGCAGUGAAAUGCGUAGAUAUGUGGAGGAAUACCGAUGGCGAAGGCAGCCCCCUGGGAUAACACUGACGCUCAUGCACGAAAGCGUGGGGAGCAAACAGGAUUAGAUACCCUGGUAGUCCACGCCCUAAACGAUGUCUACUAGUUGUCGGGUCUUAAUUGACUUGGUAACGCAGCUAACGCGUG